UGUAUAAGAGACAGCAGCCGCCACGGGAAUACGAAGGGUGCAAGCGUUACUCGGAAUUACUGGGCGUAAAGCGUGCGUAGGUGGUGGUUUAAGUCCGUUGUGAAAGCCCUGGGCUCAACCUGGGAAUUGCAGUGGAUACUGGGUCACUAGAGUGUGGUAGAGGAUAGUGGAAUUUCCGGUGUAGCAGUGAAAUGCGUAGAGAUCGGAAGGAACAUCUGUGGCGAAGGCGACUAUCUGGCCAACACUGACACUGAGGCACGAAAGCGUGGGGAGCAAACAGGAUUAGAUACCCGCGUAGUCCCUGUCUCUUAUACC
rnacentral:rRNA from 1 species